GGGGAUUUAGCUCAGCGGCAUAAGUGCUUGUCUUAAAAGCAGGCAGUCAUGAGUUCAAUCCCCA
rnacentral:tRNA from 1 species